UGGCAGCAGUGGGAUUCGAACCCACGCCUCGAAAGACUGGUGCCUAAAACCAGCGCCUUAGACCACUCGGCCACUCUACC
rnacentral:tRNA from 13 species